UAAGCAUAUCAAUAAGCGGAGGAAAAGAAACCAACAGGGAUUGCCCCAGUAACGGCGAGUGAAGCGGCAACAGCUCAAAUUUGAAAUCUGGCCCCCAGGGCCCGAGUUGUAAUUUGCAGAGGAUGCUUUUGGCGCGGCGCCUUCCGAGUUCCCUGGAACGGGACGCCACAGAGGGUGAGAGCCCCGUCUGGUCGGACGCCAAGCCAGUGUAAAGCUCCUUCGACGAGUCGAGUAGUUUGGGAAUGCUGCUCUAAAUGGGAGGUAUAUGUCUUCUAAAGCUAAAUACCGGCCAGAGACCGAUAGCGCACAAGUAGAGUGAUCGAAAGAUGAAAAGCACUUUGAAAAGAGGGUUAAACAGUACGUGAAAUUGUUGAAAGGGAAGCGUUUGUGACCAGACUUGGGCCCGGCGAAUCAUCCAGCGUUCUCGCUGGUGCACUUCGCCGGGCUCAGGCCAGCAUCAGUUCGCCGCGGGGGACAAAAGCUUCGGGAACGUGGCUCCCCCGGGAGUGUUAUAGCCCGUUGCACAAUACCCUGCGGCGGACUGAGGUUCGCGCUCCGCAAGGAUGCUGGCGUAAUGGUCAUCAGCGACCCGUCUUGAAACACGGACCAAGGAGUCGUCUUCGUAUGCGAGUGUUCGGGUGUCAAACCCCUACGCGUAAUGAAAGUGAACGCAGGUGAGAGCUUCGGCGCAUCAUCGACCGAUCCUGAUGUUCUCGGAUGGAUUUGAGUAAGAGCAUACGGGGCCGGACCCGAAAGAAGGUGAACUAUGCCUGUAUAGGGUGAAGCCAGAGGAAACUCUGGUGGAGGCUCGCAGCGGUUCUGACGUGCAAAUCGAUCGUCAAAUAUGGGCAUGGGGGCGAAAGACUAAUCGAACCUUCUAGUAGCUGGUUUCCGCCGAAG
rnacentral:rRNA from 1 species